rnacentral:lncRNA from 1 species
UUUAAGGGCUGACUCCCAACAAGGAAGGCUGUCAAGCUGGAGAUUCUUCCUCUUGGAGCUCUUCUGUGAGCCCAGGACAUGGUUCGGUUCACAUCAGGAAUUAUAUCAAAGAUGAAACUGCCUGAGAACAAGUUUCGGGGUAUGUUAGUGGGAAUACUUGACUGCCAGGAGUCAAAGUCCCAGUGAAAAUCAUAUUGCAGAAGGCAUGAACCACUUUGGAGGAACCUACUUGGCAACACAAUAAGAUCCCAUCCGUUCAUGGGAGGGGAGGAAUCAUCUGCCAUCUUACUUCUCCUCUGUCCCCAGUCAGACAGAAAGUGCAGACAUACAGACAGAGGGUCACCCCUCACUUUUAGUGCCUAGAACAUCAGUGACACUACAGGAACUUGAGCAGAAUGUAAAUUUUUUUUCUCAUAUUUGCAAACCUGAAAAGAGAGUGAAAGACUGUUAUCUCUUCCAUAAGCUAUUUGGGAUGCUCCUACAAAGGGCUCUGAAAAAGCUAUGAAAGAUUAUACCUUGCAUGUACUGACUAUUUAAUACAUGAAUGUUUGGAUAUCUGUGAGAAUUAAAAGUUAUUUUGAUGUCAGAAGUAAAGCAAAGUCUUCCUCCUUUCCCUAGAGAAAAAUAAAUGCUUUUUUCUUGUAAGAGAAGCUUUUUUAUACAAGGGCUAAUUCUUGUUAAACUGGGCCUAAAGCAAUUAACCUAUUUCUUCCUGUCAGAUUUAAUUGUAAACUGACCUAAUUAAGACUAAAACCUGUGGUACACCUGUCUGCAUUGCAUUUUUGUAUUGAGUACAAAAAACAUCACAUCUGGAAUAGGCAGUGCACAGAGGAAUUAAACUUAAAUGUGGGGCUGCUGUGCUUUUUGAUAAGCAUUUCAGCAGCUAAGCAUUUCCAGCAGAUAAGGAGAGAGUCUGUUGAUUUCAGUGAGCACAAAAUGGGUCUCUUCUGAACUCUCCCUGGGUUCCUGUCAAUGAAAUUACUCUAGAUAUACACUGGUAUUAGUUACACAUGCAAGGAGUGAUCUAUUUUUAAGAAAUGAUCCAGAAUUUGAAGAGAACACACAGAGAAGCUGUAUUUUAAUAACUUCCCAUCCACUAAUUUCUAACAGUUUCAGGCAACUGCACAAACAUAUAGGUCCUGCUAUCUACUACUUGUUUAUUAGUGCACUAUGACAACAAGGAAACAUAUCUGGAACACACCAAGAUGCUCCUGUAAACUGAAAUUCCUUGUUAUACAGUCUAUCCCCCCCACUUUUUUUUUUUCUGCCAAGGGUAAAUCCUACCACCAGAAACUCAGCAUGCCAUUUGUGUUAUGUUUUGGUUUAAAGCAAAGUGGCCUGAAAUAUCCUUCCUUUUUAACAUACAGUUUGUUCAGCAUUUAAGUAAUUGGUGUUUAAUAUCUGUUCCAAAAGACUAAUCAGGGCAUAUAUACAGAUGUACAUAUGUGUGUAUGUAGAUGACAAAAUGGUACACCUAUACGUAACUCAAAGUUCUUUUCUAUACUACAGCUUGUAUGUAUUUGAGCUUGUACAGAGCCUGCCUAGAUGUGUCCUCGUUCUAUCUGAGAGCCUUGCCCUAAAUUACAGAUAAUUGAAAGUGGUCCAAAAGCGGAAGGCAGUCUGAGUACUUGAGGAAAAGUUAUAAAUACUUUAAAGAGCUUGUUAGAGCAGAAGGAAUCAUUUGACCGGGCUGAGGUCUGUAGUGUAUGUCAUUUUGCUUGAGGUUGUUUUGACUACAGUGGAUACUGCAUGGGAUGAUUGAAUAGUCCGGUUUCUACCCCCUUUGCCUGAAAAAAUGACCAGCAACCAGAACUAUCACAUUUUGACAGAUGGAAAACAGUGGUACAGCAGAUUUUGCAAGAACUUAAAGCUUUUUUUUUUUGUUUGGGAGGAUGCUCAGAAGUAUACUUUCACCUCUGCUGUGCACAAAAGUAGGAUGAAACAGAUUUUAAGAUUUGACUUAGCUCACACAUACUGAGCUAAGCCUAACAGAACUGUACAAAGAGAUCCUAUGGCCCCAUAAAUUUUGCAAGUUGCAAAAGGCCAUGGAUACAUCAACUGAUUCAUUUCUCUGGUGCUGGAAAACUGACUUUGCAGCAGUAACAUGCUGUACUUUAAAGGUCAGACAGAAUAGGACUCUGAUAAAUCAGGAUGAAAACCACAGAAUGGGCCCAUGAAAACAAAACAAGGAGCUUUAAAACAAGUAAGUAAUGAAGUAUGUAGAAUAGCCAGAACUCUCUUUUGGUCUGAUUAGAAUAGAAAACCUGUAAGUAGGAAAGGAGGACAUUUUCUGUUGCCUGCGGCAUUUUUCAAGUGCCCAUCACAGUACUAAGAUGACAUUAGAAUCAUUUUCUUCACUUU